AAAAAAUGUCUUCUUGUUGGUGCAUUAAACCUUUCAAUUUGCACCCAACAAUUCCAUCAUCAUCAUCAUCGCACUCCCACCUUCGAGGAACACUGUUUCUGCAACCUUCUCCUCCUCUUGCUUUGACUCAACAACAACAACAACAAGCUCCUCCUUCAGUUCCACCCUAAACAACACAAACGCGCUUCCAUAAUUGUUCGG
rnacentral:lncRNA from 1 species